rnacentral:lncRNA from 1 species
AGACGUGAUCGACUGACCGAUCUCCUGUAUUUGUCGAGUGUUCUUCUUGUUGGUUGCUGGGGCUGUUCUGGCCUGUACAAUGGUGGCACCACAACAACCGUUUUGGUGGUGGUCUGGGCAGGUGCUAGACUGUUUGUUAGCCAUUUGAUGUGAUGGCCCUGCACUCCUACCUGGUUGGUGUGCUUGACUCUUGGUGUUCUUGACCUGUAGUCUCUUAGUUGCCGGUCAUGUACAAUAGCUGCUUGGUUAUAUGACUCUGUUCCUUUCUUAGGUAGCUAGCCCUGACUGUAAUUUGCAGCAUGCAUACUUGUCCGUGUUCUGUUCCUUGCAUUUUAUCCAUGUAAAACUGUUGUAUUCUUGUGGAUUUCUUGCUUGCGCCGUCUGCAUUUCAUCAUGCCUUUUCUCACCAUGUGACAAAUUGUUUUGAGCUAGUAUUGUUUUUAAUGUGGCUGUAGUAUGCGAAAAAUCCCUUUUGGAGGCCGAGCUCCAAUGAGGCUAGCUUUUGAAAAAUUCAAAAUUCAUUAAAAUUCAUUCAUAUUUUUACAUUUCAAAAAAUUCUAAAGAAAAGAUAUACACGGAGAUAUAUUGCACAAGUGUGUAAAUUUUAAGGAUGAAAUUCGUUGGAAUGAGGGCUGUGCAAAAAAGACAAAUUUAGAACUUUUUAGCACAUGAUACAUCCUCAUAGGUCAUAAAUUUGUCUUUUUGUGCAGAUUGCAUUUUAAGGUAUUUCAUCCUGAAAAUUUACGCAUAUAUGCAUAACAUCCUCGUUUACUUGUACAUUUCUUUUUCUUGAAACUGAAAGUUUGAUUUGUUUUCUUCAAAAAAAUGGCCUCGAUGGAUGCGAGAGCCAAAAUGCCACACUCCUGUGGUAUGCCCUUUUGAAGUUGAUGGAAGUUCUGGCUCUAUGUUGAACAGGGAAAGGUGCCGGGUGUGAAAAUGAUGGAAAUCGCCAAAGAGAGUGGUGAAGUUUUUUACCCGGGUUCCAAUGAUCUCUGACAUUGGCUGGAUAAAUAAAGUUUGAAGGGACUUCUCGAGUAGGUAAUCUGUUUUAUCAGUCUCCACCAAAGAGAGUGGUGAAGUUUUUUACCCGGGUUACAGUGAUAUCUUGCUUGGGCUUCUCGAGGAGCUAAUCUGUUUUAUCAGACUCCACCAAUAAGUUGCAAUGACAACAACUAGCUUAGCAAUAAAUUGCUUAAUUAGUGACCAACAUGUUAGAUACUAUGUAGUACUCCCUCCGUAAACUAAUAUAAGAGCGUUUAGAAUACUAAAAUAGUGAUCUAAACGCUCUUAUAUUAGUUUACAGAGGGAGUAGUAACGUGUCAGGAAUAGAAUGAUUGGUUGCAGCAAGGAUUUCAGUUUAUAAUAAACCAUGGUGAGCAAAACGAGGCUGCUUUAGAGAAAGGGCAAAGAAAAAGCAUGUGCAUUCCAUCCUCUGUAUUAUCACACCCAAAGCAGUUUUCAGUAAUGCGUUAGAGAAUUUACUUGCUCUCUUACCCUUAGAAAGCGCUUUACUAAGAAGCCUCCAAGCAAAUGUCUGUACCCAUGGCGCCAUGAAUUUGUCUUGCCAAACUUGGUUUAGAAGAGCAAUGUUUUGUGGAUGAACCGCUUUGGGUUGUUAUCUAGCCGAUAGCUCAAGGUUGUUGAAGCAAUGUUUAUAUGCACUUUUCGAUGAGAAAUUGCAUGCAAGUGUUAGUUUCCAAUUCAAAGCAUCUUGCACAACAUCAGAGUCAAAAGAAUAUUACUAGCUAUCUCAGGAGUGAACGGGGAGUUAUUGUAUCAACAUUCCAAGCUUUUUGAUCUGGCAACCAAAGAUCUUUAACAAUAGCGGAACAUCAUAACAUCAUCAAUGUAUAGAGGCAACCAUGGUAGUGCAACUAAGGCAGGAUCUAAUGGCUUGCCACUAACAAAAUGAAGAAGCUUAUUGGAUGCGUUUGGUAGACUGCACCUUUUUUUGCCCCAUUGCAUGUUGACUCAACUGAACAGUUUAUGCCUGCUAUUUUGUGGCCUGCAUUUAUGCUUCAGGGUGAGCAGAUGCAAACUACAACAGUUUGGUUGUGUGCACUGUGUUGUUCUGCUCACCCCUUUCAAAUGUGGUGUGCUUAUCCACCAAUUGGACUACACUUCACAACAACACAUCACGUAUCAAGCAGGAACACAAUUAAAAUACCACGCCUACUCAUUAUUAGCAUGCAACUACAUAGUUCACGGUGCAACUAGAACAUCAAUUUAACACAACAGGGGCAUCACAUGCCCCUAGACAACCCCAAGAUGCUGAUCCCUAGGCAGAAUGUACACCUGACAACAAAAGAUCAAAGUUCACACAUACACGCUUUAGAUAGACGGUUCGAGCAAGAAGAAGAGCACGAGCAAUGUCACCCUAGCAGCAGUGCUUGGUGCACCUGACCUUGCAGAUGGUGGAGUUGCCGGCGAUUUAGAUAUUGACCUUCAAGCCCAGGCCCAACAGCUUCAAGACUAACAGACCACAGAGGGCGAUGAUGUGCUUUUAACAAAAGUAGUUCCAACCCCUCCCCAGCAACAUCUGCUCGUGGAAGAUCUGCACAUAGACCCAAAACUCGCACCAUUUGUUUGCUAAGAGCUUGACAAUGCAAGGAGGUUUUAGGACGAGCCAUCGUUUCAUCAGGGGCAGAGUCGAGGAUGACAAAAAUGGCAAUGUCCUUGACGUUCUUGAUGGACACAUAGACUUCAGUGGCUCGCGUGUCCCCUCCUCAUGGCCAAGCCUAGACAUGCGGCCAAUCCCUAGCGACUUGCUCAUCUCAGCUAGUUUGCCCAACACCAUCACUGUUUUCUGCAAACCGAUUCACCCGCAUGAUGUACUUGUCCCCUCGGCGCCAUUAACGACCAGCCUGGUGGGGGCCAACGAUGCUGAUAGGCGGCCCAACCUUGCCCGUCAUGGACCCCUGAGGUAAACUGCCCGGGUGCACGCUGUCCGGGCAUAUCAGACACGCAGAGAGCUGUAGGGAGCCACCCGCAUCACGCCGAUGCCAGGACACGCUAAAGCCCUCCUCGCGCAUGGAGACUCCCAGGAGACAGGUACUCCAUUAUCCUUUGUAGGAGUAAUGAGACACUUACGAUUUGAAUCCUCCCAUUUAGCCUUAACAUCACAGUCCCUCAUAAUCUCCAUCACCUUCUUUAGGUGCUUCAGGAGGACCAUUAAGGAGAACAUAAUCAAUAUUCAGCAAGGCAAAAGUAAUCUCAAGCUUUUGCUUCCAUGUAGCAUAGUUGCUACCAUAUAAUUGGUCUAUAUUGUUAAGCAUUCCAGCAAUAUGAGAGGCAUUAGAUGCUGCAAAAAGAAUCAAUGUUUUAAUGAGCAUCAUCAUCAUCAACUUGUUUUAGUGACCAAAUUCAAAUAAGCUUUGACCCGAAAUGAGUAUGAACAAAAAAAAUGUGGACAAGUAUUUAUUAAUCAGCUUUGGCCAGAGUAAUAAAUAGAAGCCACAUUUUAUUAAAUCCUUAUGUAUAAACUUCUUUUAUCAAUCUUGUUCAUAUCAGCUUUGGCCAGAAAUGGGCAUAAUUAAUAAAGUUUUAUGAUGCUCGUCAUUUUUUUUGUGGGUGGAGAACGUUAAUUUUACAGUGGAAACAACCUAACAUAACAACAGUCCUAAUAAAAUGCCACAAAAGAAUCAAGAAAUAAUAAUAAAUGCAUUCAUAUAAUCAGACAUGGCACGUAAAAGCAUGAGGAACAGUAAGAUGUAAAGGAAUUAUGUAACAUUUUUAACAAGCAUAACCAAACAUGCAAAAGUUAAGCCCUGAAACUUAUUUAUUUUAGUUCAGAAGAAUAAACUUAAAAUAAAAAAGACUUUAGAUUAUUCUCAGUGAAUCUCAGCCUAUGUACAUAUUCAGGCCAUUACAUGAAAACAUGCAAAGGUCACUCCCACAUUUUCAGUUUUGCGCCACUUGUCAUACCCAGAGAGUUUUCUCUUUUUUCAUAGAUUCGAAUAUGUAUACACCCAAAUCCCGAACCAUCUUCACCGUUGGAUUACUAGCAUCGAGAUCAUCAAACUAGAUCCCAUGUUAAUAUGUUUCGACGAUCUAUUUUUCUCUGCAAAUAAACCGAAAGAAAAACUGUGCCUCCCGCGAAAAAAUAACGUGUUUUUCCCUUUCAGAGAGGCACACCUCUCGUGUAUGCAAACCUGUGCAUCCACGAGAAGCAGAUCCGUUACUCUCGCGGAAGAAAAAAAACACGUUUUUCUUUUUCUUUUUCGAGAGGCACAGCUGUGCCUCUUGCAGAAGCAAAACUGUGCCUCCAUGAGAUGCAAGUGUGUGCCUCUCGCGGAAGAACAACAAUGUUUUUUUCUCUUUCCGAGAGGCCUCCACGAGAAACAAAUCUGUACCUCUCGCGGAAGAAAAAAUAUUAUAUUUUUCCUUUUUUGGUGAGGCACAUUGGGCUUCCCUUGGAAGCAAAUAUGUGCUAUUUGUGGAACCAAAAACACCAUUUUUCACGCAAUUAUUUGUCCAAAAUCUAGAGAAAACCAGGGAAAAACUGGAAAAUAAAAACCAUCUAAAACCAGAAAACGCGUACAGAAAAAUAAAAAACAC